CCUACGGGGGGCUGCAGUGGGGAAUAUUGGACAAUGGGCGCAAGCCUGAUCCAGCCAUGCCGCGUGAGUGAUGAAGGCCUUCGGGUCGUAAAGCUCUGUGGGAAGGGACGAAAAAACCGAACUUAAUACGCUCGGUCUUGACGGUACCUUCUUAGCAAGCACCGGCUAACUCCGUGCCAGCAGCCGCGGUAAUACGGAGGGUGCAAACGUUGCUCGGAAUCAUUGGGCGUAAAGCGCACGUAGGCGGUCCGGUAAGUCGGAUGUGAAAUCCCUCG
rnacentral:rRNA from 1 species